GGGGAAUAUUGGGCAAUGGACGCAAGUCUGACCCAGCAACGCCGCGUGAAGGAAGAAGGCUUUCGGGUUGUAAACUUCUUUUAAGGGGGAAGAGUAGAAGACGGUACCCCUUGAAUAAGCCACGGCUAACUACGUGCCAGCAGCCGCGGUAAUACGGAGGUGGCGAGCGUUGUCCGGAUUUACUGGGCGUAAAGGGAGCGUAGGCGGAUUUUUAAGUGAGAUGUGAAAUACCCGGGCUCAACUUGGGUGCUGCAUUUCAAACUGGAAGUCUAGAGUGCAGGAGAGGAGAGUGGAAUUCCUAGUGUAGCGGUGAAAUGCGUAGAGAUUAGGAAGAACACCAGUGGCGAAGGCGACUCUCUGGACUGUAACUGACGCUGAGGCUCGAAAGCGUGGGGAGCAAACA
rnacentral:rRNA from 2 species